UACGUAGGGGGCAAGCGUUGUCCGGAAUCAUUGGGCGUAAAGAGCGUGUAGGCGGCCCGGUAAGUCCGCUGUGAAAGUCGGGGGCUCAACCCUCGAAUGCCGGUGGAUACUGUCGGGCUAGAGUGCGGAAGAGGCGAGUGGAAUUCCUGGUGUAGCGGUGAAAUGCGCAGAUAUCAGGAGGAACACCAAUUGCGAAGGCAGCUCGCUGGGAACGUAACUGACGCUGGAGACGCGAAAGCGUGGGGAGCAAACAGG
rnacentral:rRNA from 1 species